UCAAAGAGCUUAAAAAAUGUUUUAAGAUUGCUUGAGCGACUAAUUAAUCUAUUCAUUAUUUAUUUAUUGUCUAUUUCGAGGUUCCCAUCCAAGUGUAAGAACACGUAGCGUACUGGGGUCCAUUACAGGAAUAAUGGGUAUUUUUAGAAAGCAAUUUGCUAAAUGUAGAACACUGUUGCAUUCAGACAAGUUUGUGGAUGAAGGUAUGCUUACAUGUAGUUAAAAUACGGGGACAUAUAUUUUCAUUAUUUCGUCUACUUCGGAGAUAUUGACGUGAAUCAUCUAUCAGGAAGUAUAAGUGAAUUGUUUUGAAUGUGAACAAAAUGAAUGGUGUCAUUUUUGUCACAUUUCUGAAUUUUGUUUGUUUAUCUGUCACGCUGGACCCGCAUAUGUGUGGAUCAGGGACAUGUUGUGUUGAUUAUAUCCUGCACAAUAACAGGUGUAUAGAAUGUGAACCGGGAACAUAUGGUACAAACUGUAGUGAAAUAUGUCCUGAUGGAUAUUAUGGCAGACGUUGUUGGCAAUCGUGUCCCACGCACUGCAAAGGAAUAUGUAACAAGAUCAACGGAAGUUGUUCAGAUGAAAGUUCAUUCAUGAAAUGGAGAUACCGAUGAUGAUGCUCUCCAAUUUGACCUUUGGUUUUCCCCACAUGGAUGUGUUAUUGGUAUAAGUAUUUAGAAUGUGCUUUUAGAAAUAAGAACAUUACAAGAUAAGGGUGAUACAGAGGAAAAUAUUGAUUUAGACAGUGUAUAAUAUGAUGAUAUAUUACUGAUACAUGCUAUGUAUCAUUCAUCAGCAGUUUGCAUAUUUCUAUAUUUGACAAUUUAUUGUCAAAAUCUCAAUCCUCACGCAUCACAAAGAAUAAUAAUGCAAUAGCAAUCAACUAUUCGUUCUUUGACCACUUCUAGUUUACUGAACACAGAAGGAUAUGUAAUACGCAGUUUUGUCUCCUUUUACGCUUUUAAUCCAUUCUGACAAGGUGUCAAGUUUUUUUCUUUUUUUAUAUAUAUACCCCAUCGUUUAGCAUAGGCAUUCAUGAUUCAAAUGAAGUAAUGUUGGCUAUUGAAAAAUCUGAAUUACAAUGAGGGAUUUUAGGUCGUAGUUGUCAAGUAUAUUGACAUCGCUGGCAAUGACAAGUCCAACAGGACUAUACAAUAAAAAUGAAGGAUAAUAAGAUGUUGGCAGAUUAUGUUUUUGGUGUUCCUUCAACUUUGUAAAGUUGUUUUGUUUUGUUUUUUGUGAUGAAAAGGUUUGAAUGCAAUAGUAGAAGUGUGGUUGUUUGAUAUACAAGCAAGUUGUAGAGUUCAACUUCAAAGUGAUGGGGAAGACUUUUAUACCGAAGAAUGUUGCUUUUAGUGACGACAUUUACUUUUUUGUUAGUCAACGUUAGCUUAAGGAAAUGACUGCAGGAUUAUCAUCGCAACCUGAAGUAUUUUAAAGAAACUGCAAUGGACCACAUCCAUGACCAUACAAUUCAGUCUGUAUUGUGAAGUUGAAAAAUCCAAGUAUGGACGAGCUGUAGUGCAACGAGGUCAACUGAAAAUGCUUACAUGAGCGAUGUGAUCCAUGGACCUCUGCAAUACACACAUUUAUCAGAAUUACACGUUAUAAUUGUCAAUGUUUAGAUUGAGCACUAUUUCCAGUUUUGUUUUGCUAAUUUCAGCUGAAAAAUUAAAUGAUUUAAUUAAGAUACAUAACUAGAAUUCAAAUAAGAUAUACGCCAGUCGGAUAUUGGACCAGUCGGAUAUUGGACCAAUAAUUUGACAUGAGCUGCCUGACGUGUUUCAUACCGUUCUUUACACUGAUCUUGGCCCGUUUAUCUGGUCAAGAUAUAGAAAUCAGGGCAGUUGCACCCGUCGACAGGGGAUGCUUACUCCUCCUAGGCACCUGAUUCCGCCUCUGGUAUGCCCAGGGGUCCAUGUUUGCCCAAGUCUUACUUUUAUAAUCCUUAUAGGAGUUAUCAGUUUGAUCAAGGUUUGUUAUCUUCACCUUUUCGCGUUGUAUCGUAAUGAAAAAAAAAAUGAUUUUUAGUGCGAUAUUGUUACUGCAUAUGUAUUUCUGUCACCAGUUCAAAGAAAGGUGAAUAUAUCUAACAGUGAUAAAUCUCACAACUCCUAUAAACAAUAUAAAAUAGAUACCUGGGCAAACACGGACCAUCGGACACACCAGAGGUUGGGUUGGAUGUCUAGGAGGAGUAAACAUCCCAUGUAGACCGGUCACAACCACCGUGAGCCCUAUAUCCUGAUCAGGUAAACGGAGUUAUCUGUAGUCAAAAUCAGUGUGCCACGAACAGCCUAACAAUCGGUAUAAAACAGGCCAGGCAGCAUUUGACCCAAUGAUAGGUUGUAUUAACGAACUAGAUCGUUAUAACGACCGAAUUUGCAAAAUCUGACUUUCAAUCGGGACUGCUGAAACCCCUAUACCAUCAAUUUGUUUUUCAGUAGCUUGCCUCGAUUUAAACACUGACCAUCGCAGAACAAGCUCUUGCGUAUCGAAUCAGUUGAGAUAUAUACUAGAAUUCAAUAUACUAUUAGAAAAUGUCAACUGGAAAAGUUUAACAAUGUUUUUGAAACAUGCUAGAUUUAUGUUUUCAAUCAAAAUCUCAACGACAGACUGAGAUACGAUUUUAAUACGUUAAACCACAAGUAGGGGAUGUAAACUUUUGUAAAUACUGUCAUAAUUCAUCACAGAAAAAAUUAAAUGGAUAUAUAAAUAAAGCAUAUUAAUGUUACCAGUUUAUACAUGUAACCGUAUCAACUGUAACUACUUAUUGUGAUAACUGUGAAAUCCGUUUCUCUAUGGGUAUUCUUAUCAUUAUUUAAAUUUUCAACGUCAUAAUUUCCUUGUUUUACACUGUUUAAUCCGCCAGUCGGAUUACACAGGGGUCACUUUACAUACAUUUGAAUUGCGUUAUCUGUUAAAGUUUUCUUUUUUUAUUUAUGGCGUACGAUCAAUGGUAGAAGAGAUAACAGGACGAGUAACUCGUGGCAUACUCAUUCAAAGAAUGCAGGAAAGGGACGAAUUGAUGAACAAUUUAAAAUAUAUACCUGGACUUCUUAUAUCACAAUCUAUUCUGGGUGUGGUUAUAGGAGUAUCAAUGGUUUUCAUUGUAUAUAUAUCCUACAAACUCAGACGAUUGUACGGGGUCUUAUCUUUAAACAAUGAGCAGAACAACUCGCUUUACACCCCUGCAACAAAAGUUCAGGAUCAGCGGGUUUUGUACACAGGACUACGUCACCAAACAACAAAUCAAAGUGGUUCAGCGGAGGACCAAGCAGACUAUCUCAUACCGGUCAGUGAGGAACCAUAGGAACGGAGUCCGUAUAGAUGAUAAUCCGUAAAACCUGUAUGAUAGAAUUCUACUAGAUACAGCUAGUAUAUUAUGUACAUCUGCAGUAAUCACGAAAAUGUUCUCUAUGUAAAACUUAUACGGUACCAAUUUUGAUGCACCAGAUGCGCAUUUCGACAAAUAAUGUCUCUUCAGUGAUGCUCAACCGAAAUGUUUGAAAUAUAAGCUGAAAGUCUAAGAAUUUAAACACGCUAAUGAAUGGACUGUCACAACACUAAUUUCGGAUUAUUUAAAAUCCCUACCGGGCACACCACAAAGGUACUGACUAAAACCCGGUCUCGGUCCCGGUCUUCGGUCUCGGUCCCGUGACUAAAACCCGGUCUUCGGUCGCGGUCCCAGAUACUUUUAUUUGAUAAAAACAGAAUAUAUCAGGAUAUUUGAGCCCCAUUUCUCAAUAACUUAGGUAUGAGAUCUCAUGCCUACAUUCUGAUAGUAAAUUGAUCAUAUUAUUUUCUUCUUUCGUAAAACAAUAUGUGAAAACUCCGGGACCGGUGGGACCGAGAAAUUAAAAACGAUGCUAAAAGCCGGUCCCGGUAUCGACAUUUCCCCUCAAUAACCGCUUUAAUCUACCUUUUCAUAAAAAAGAUAAGGACGUGAUACUCAAUGGCAUCCCUUUGUAUACAUAUAUUUCUGAUUUAUUGUGUGUGUAGGUUUUUUUAUUCCAAUAUUCUUUAUAUUUAUGUCAGAAUCGAACUCAACUACAUGUACGUGACAUUUUGUCCCAAAUGAUCGUGUUACACUACCUUUUCAUAAAAAGAUAAGGAUGUAGAAGGGAAGUGAUAUAUAUGUACUUAUCCUGGUGUAUUUGUUUGUAAUUUACAGUUAGUUUAUUUGUUCAUUUAUUUUAUUUCUUCUAUUCCUGUCAAAAUCAGUUUUCAAAUAUUCAUGUUUUGUAUUCCGAACCUGAUCUCUUUAUAUGGGUAUACAUGUAUAUUUUACAUAAUUUAUACUUGUAUAUAACCAAUAAAUGAUAACUAUAAAA